rnacentral:sRNA from 1 species
CACAGCCCGCCGCGCUCGCCUCUCCGCCCCGCGUCCAGCUCGCCCAGCUCGCCCAGCGUCCGCCGCGCCUCGGCCAAGGCUUCAACGGACCACACCAAAAUGCCAUCUCAAAUGGAACACGCCAUGGAAACCAUGAUGUUUACAUUUCACAAAUUCGCUGGGGAUAAAGGCUACUUAACAAAGGAGGACCUGAGAGUACUCAUGGAAAAGGAGUUCCCUGGAUUUUUGGAAGUCUUGAGAGGUGGCUGUUGAAUUCAACUGAAGGUGCAACAUUGCAUGACAAAAUAGUAGACUGAAAUGCAAGCCCUUCUUUCCCUACCACAAUUGUAGUCACCUGAAAAGAUUGUUUCUGUGCUUGGUGUUGAAUAAUGCAUUAACCUGUAAAGGGUGAGAGGAGAUAUGGUAAAA